rnacentral:rRNA from 1 species
AUUGAACGCUGGCGGCAUGCCUUACACAUGCAAGUCGAACGCGAAAGCGGGGCAACCCGCAAGUAGAGUGGCGAACGGGUGAGUAAUACAUCGGAACAUUUCCAGUAGCGGGGGAUAACCUGUCGAAAGAUAGGCUAAUACCGCAUACGAUCUACGGAUGAAAGCGGGGGACCGAAAGGCCUCGCACUAUUGGAGUGGCCGAUGUCGGAUUAGCUAGUUGGUGGGGUAAAAGCCUACCAAGGCGACGAUCCGUAGCUGGUCUGAGAGGACGAUCAGCCACACUGGAACUGAGACACGGUCCAGACUCCUACGGGAGGCAGCAGUGGGGAAUUUUGGACAAUGGGCGCAAGCCUGAUCCAGCCAUGCCGCGUGAGUGAAGAAGGCCUUCGGGUUGUAAAGCUCUUUCGGUGGAGACGAAACGGUCCGUGUUAAUAACACGGACUACUGACGGUACCCACAGAAGAAGCACCGGCUAACUACGUGCCAGCAGCCGCGGUAAUACGUAGGGUGCAGGCGUUAAUCGGAAUUACUGGGCGUAAAGCGUGCGCAGGCGGUCUGUUAAGACAGGUGUGAAAUCCCCGAGCUCAACUUGGGAAUUGCGCUUGUUACUGGCAGGCUAGAGUGUGGCAGAGGGGGGUGGAAUUCCACGUGUAGCAGUGAAAUGCGUAGAUAUGUGGAGGAACACCGAUGGCGAAGGCAGCCCCCUGGGUCAACACUGACGCUCAGGCACGAAAGCGUGGGGAGCAAACAGGAUUAGAUACCCUGGUAGUCCACGCCCUAAACUAUGUCAACUAGUUGUCGGUGAAGAAAUUCCUUGGUAACGAAGCUAACGCGUGAAGUUGACCGCCUGGGGAGUACGGUCGCAAGAUUAAAACUCAAAGGAAUUGACGGGGACCCGCACAAGCGGUGGAUUAUGUGGAUUAAUUCGAUGCAACGCGAAAAACCUUACCUACCCUUGACAUGUACGGAAUUCCGCAGAGAUGGGAAGUGCC